CUUGGGUUGUCUUAAAGGGGAAGCGUCUAAUUCAGAAGCUUUGGGAAGAAAAGCGGGAAGGUUGCAGAGCAAGUGAAACCUGGCGGCAGGUUCCAAGCCCCCCAGAUGUUUCCUUCUUAAGUUGUGAAAGUAAUAUGUUGGGAUAUCAAGAAGAAGAGGAAUUGACUACUGUGCGUGUCCAAGAUCCUCGAAUACAUAAUGAGGGCUCAUGGAAUUCUUAUGUGGAUUACAAAAUAUU